rnacentral:rRNA from 1 species
CCUACGGGAGGCAGCAGUGAGGAAUAUUGCGCAAUGGAGGCAACUCUGACGCAGCCAUGCCGCGUGCAGGAAGAAGGCGCUACGCGUUGUAAACUGCUUUUAACCGGGAAGAAACCCCAGGACGUGUCCUGGGUUGACGGUACCGGAGGAAUAAGCACCGGCUAACUUCGUGCCAGCAGCCGCGGUAAUACGAAGGGUGCAAGCGUUAUCCGGAUUCAUUGGGUUUAAAGGGUGCGUAGGCGGGGUGGUAAGUCAGUGGUGAAAUCCUGCAGCUUAACUGUAGAAUUGCCAUUGAUACUGCCAUUCUUGAGUACGCUGGAUGUGGGCGGAAUGUGCCGUGUAGCGGUGAAAUGCUUAGAUAUGGCACAGAACACCGAUAGCGAAGGCAGCUCACAACGGCGAAACUGACGCUGAGGCACGAAAGCGUGGGGAUCGAACAGGAUUAGAUACCCUGGUAGUCCACGCCGUAAACGAUGAUCACUCGUCAUUGGCGAUACACUGUCAGUGACCUAGCGAAAGCGUUAAGUGAUCCACCUGGGGAGUACGGCCGCAAGGCUGAAACUCAAAGGAAUUGACGG